rnacentral:lncRNA from 1 species
CGAACUUGUAAAUACAUAGCCUCAAAACUGCAUCUAACUAUGCAAAUAUUAUAAAUUUAGCACUAGUUAUAGACACACAAACAUGAAAUAAAACUUGUACAAAAGAUCCCAGCUUAAAAGUAACAACUUAUCGAAAUAUUGAUUUACAAAAAGAUAACACUAUUUGUACAUAAUUUUUUGUACAUUCACAUGGAGUGGGGCCUACUAGAAUAAAAGAACAGGAAAGGUGAUUUCACUAUAAUUCUGACUAGGCACAAGCCCUAUCACAAGAAAUUUUUUUUUUUUUUUUAAUUGGGGCAAUAGCUCUGAAAAGACAAAUUGCAUGUCGGGAGAAAUACGAUCGAUAGGAGAUAAUUCAAACCAUCCGAUAAAACAAGUACAACCCCUACAUUCAAACCUCAUUUCUUACCAUUAGCGAGAACUUGUUAUUCGAGCGAACCCCAUCCCAUGUGAGUGUGAGACAUCUUGAUAUAUAAAAAAUUAUGUACACCGAGCGAAGCUUUUACAAAAUAAAAACAGAACGAGUACUGAAAUUGAUUUGGUCAAGAGUUCUCUACUGUCUAUAUAUAUCCAUACGUUUGUAUGCACGGGGCUGUGCUUCUUAGUGCUUGACCACCCUCUUGGUGUUUAUGAAAUGGUACAAACCAGGGUGGUUCGAUAAUAUUCUCUAUCAUCGUCCGACAAUCUCCAUUGGCAUCCCACCAUCUCAAAUGUCUCACACUCACACUCCAUUAUCUGCACUGAAGGUCAUAAUAUGACUGAAUAUUGACAUUCGGUGAGAUAAUUGUGGUUCAUAUUGUGAUUUUGCACAUAAUUUCAUUUUUAUUUU